AACGAACGCUGGCGGCAUGCCUAACACAUGCAAGUCGAACGAGACCUUCGGGUCUAGUGGCGCACGGGUGCGUAACGCGUGGGAACCUGCCCUUAGGUUCGGAAUAACUCCCCGAAAGGGGUGCUAAUACCGGAUAAUGUCUUCGGACCAAAGAUUUAUCGCCUUUGGCUGGGCCCGCGUUGGGUUAGCUAGUUGGUAGGGUAAAAGCCUACCAAGGCGACGAUCCAUAGCUGGUCUGAGAGGAGGAUCAGCCACACUGGGACUGAGACACGGCCCAGACUCCUACGGGAAGCAGCAGUGGGGAAUAUUGGACAAUGGGCGAAAGCCUGAUCCAGCAAUGCCGCGUGAGUGAUGAAGGCCUUAGGGUUGUAAAGCUCUUUUACCCGGGAUGAUAAUGACAGUACCGGGAGAAUAAGCUCCGGCUAACUCCGUG
rnacentral:rRNA from 1 species